rnacentral:rRNA from 1 species
AAAUUGAAGAGUUUGAUCAUGGCUCAGAUUGAACGCUGGCGGCAGGCCUAACACAUGCAAGUCGAACGGUAACAGGAAGCGCUUGCUGCUUCGCUGACGAGUGGCGGACGGGUGAGUAAUGUCUGGGAAACUGCCUGAUGGAGGGGGAUAACUACUGGAAACGGUAGCUAAUACCGCAUAACGUCGCAAGACCAAAGAGGGGGACCUUCGGGCCUCUUGCCAUCGGAUGUGCCCAGAUGGGAUUAGCUUGUUGGUGGGGU